UAGCACAUGUUAAAUGUGUUUUUCGUAUUAAGAGCCUUAAAGUUAAUGAACCCAUUUAAGCUAAUGUUACUUCUAUGUUUACAUAUUAAUGGUUUGUUUCUCUCAGUCUCCGGUCUAUGUUGGUAGCUUUUGAGAGACACUACAGUUUACAAGAAUUACCUGUCCAUAUCUCUCAGUUGCCAGAUCGAAGCCAGUGCACAGCACAGCAGUUUCACUUUCAGCCCGCCAGGUGUCGUGUGAGGACUUCGCAGUCACAGCUGUUUCCGCACUGCAUUUUGCACUUUUAACAAAUUGAUGUGAAGUCAAAUAUGUCAACAAAUACGCCUACUUUGACCAUAGUACUUACGCCUCAAAGUCAGCCGUGCAAUUUUCAUCUAAUUGGAUGAGCACCGGAGCAGCAGUUGUUUCACUAGGAGGCCUGACUCUAACAAUGUUUGCGCCAAAAUACAAAGUGCGAACUCCUUUUCUUCGUUUAUUAAAAAAACAAACGAGCUUUUUUUCUUAAA